rnacentral:rRNA from 1 species
ACGGGGACCCGCACAAGCGGUGGAGCAUGUGGUUUAAUUCGAAGCAACGCGAAAAACCUUACCCAAUCUUGACAUCCCGAUGACCGCACAUGUAAAGUGUGUUCUCUUCGGAGCAUUGGAGACAGGUGGUGCAUGGUUGUCGUCAGCUCGUGUCGUGAGAUGUUGGGUUAAGUCCCGCAACGAGCGCAACCCUUGCCUUUAGUAGCUAGCAGUUCGGCUGAGCACUCUAGAGGGACUGCCAGGGAUAACCUGGAGGAAGGUGGGGAUGACGUCAAAUCAUCAUGCCCCUUAUGAUUUGGGCUACACACGUGCUACAAUGGCGUAAACAAAGGGAAGCAAUUGGGUGACCAUGAGCAAAUCUCAAAAAUNACGUCUCAGUUCGG